AUGAACGCUGGCGGCGUGCCUAAUACAUGCAAGUCGAGCGAACAGACGAGGAGCUUGCUCCUCUGACGUUAGCGGCGGACGGGUGAGUAACACGUGGAUAACCUACCUAUAAGACUGGGAUAACUUCGGGAAACCGGAGCUAAUACCGGAUAAUAUAUUGAACCGCAUGGUUCAAUAGUGAAAGACGGUUUUGCUGUCACUUAUAGAUGGAUCCGCGCCGCAUUAGCUAGUUGGUAAGGUAACGGCUUACCAAGGCAACGAUGCGUAGCCGACCUAGAGGGUGAUCGGCCACACUGGAACUGAGACACGGUCCAGACUCCUACGGGAGGCAGCAGUAGGGAAUCUUCCGCAAUGGGCGAAAGCUUGACGGAGCAACGCCGCGUGAGUGAUGAAGGUCUUCGGAUCGUAAAACUCUGUUAUUAGGGAAGAACAAAUGUGUAAGUAACUAUGCACGUCUUGACGGUACCUAAUCAGAAAGCCACGGCUAACUACGUG
rnacentral:rRNA from 1 species